rnacentral:lncRNA from 1 species
GCCACCUAGGUUGGGAUGAAGGCUCACGACCACAUGGGGCCUACGGGCAUGCAGGCCUUUGGGCCGCAGCCACACGACGGCCGGCGUGCCGUUGACGGCUGCCUGGGUCGGGACGGCGGGCCUGCGUGCCUGCAUGUAGGGGCCUGUGGGCCUGCGUGCUGGGACCGACGUGCCAGGCACAGUGCCGGCGUGCCAGGGAUGGCGGUGCACGAUCGCAUGGGGCUGUGG